GGGGCCGACCUGGUUUCGACGUGGGUACGGAUCCGGCGCAGGGCAUGCCGAGCACCAGUUCGCUCGUAAAACCACUGGAAACAAAGUAACUGCGAACGACGAACGUUUCGCCCUCGCCGCUUAACACCGGUGAGCCUCUCAACGGUUGGCCAAUGGGCCGGGUUGAAGAUCGCAAGAUCCUAGACUGAGAGGUCAUUCACAUUGGCUGGUUCUGAGCCGGGUCACUCGGUUCAGGACGAGAUCUAGUGACUGGCGUGAAGGGUAGCGUGCUGCUGCGCGACCUCAGCGUGAGACUCCAAAUCAGCCAGCUACGCAUGUAGAACUGUCCGGUGAUGGUUCGCGGACGGGGGUUCGAUUCCCCCCGGCUCCACCA
rnacentral:tmRNA from 1 species